UUACGACCCUAUCACGUUGAAACGGCGAUUCUCGCCUGAUCACCGAAGUUAAGCAACGCUGAGCCUGGUCAGUACCUAGAUGUAUGACCGCUUUGAAAUACCAGGUGCUGUAAG